GCGUGAGUAACCUGCCUUUCAGAGGGGAUAACGUUCUGAAAAGAACGCUAAUACCGCAUGAGACUACAGAGCUGCAUGGCUCAGUGGUCAAAGGAGCAAUCCGCUGAAAGAUGGACUCGCGUCCGAUUAGAUAGUAGGCGGGGUAACGGCCCACCUAGUCGACGAUCGGUAGCCGGACUGAGAGGUUGAACGGCCACCAUUGGGACUGAGACACGGCCCAGACUCCUACGGGAGGCAGCAUG
rnacentral:rRNA from 1 species